CGUCUAUAUACGUAUAGCAUAUCAAUAAGCGGAGGAAAAGAAACUAACUAGGAUUCCCUCAGUAACGGCGAGUGAAGCGGGAAGAGCUCAAAUUUGAAAUCUUCAAGGUUCUACCUUGACGAAUUGUAGUUUAAAGAAGUGUUUUCUGUUGGAGUUUUGGUAAAAGUUCUUUGGAAUAGGACAUCAUAGAGGGUGAGAAUCCCGUAUUUGACCAUUAUUUCCAGCUUUGUGAUACACUUUCAAAGAGUCGGAUUGUUUGGGAAUGCAGUCCAAAAUGGGUGGUAAAUUUCAUCUAAAGCUAAAUACUGGCGAGAGACCGAUAGCGAACAAGUACCGUGAGGGAAAGAUGAAAAGAACUUUGAAAAGAGAGUUAAACAGUACGUGAAAUUGUCAAAAGGGAAGCGUUUGACACCAGUGUUGUUUUCUCGAAAAUCAAUUAAAAAAUGGUGGGAUUUUGUGUUGUAUUGACUUUAUCAGCUUUCUGCACUCUUUUCUUGUCUUUUUUAAUGCACUUUUCGUUAACAAGUCAACAUCAAUUUCUUUUGUUGUAAAAGAGUCAUUGGAAGGUGGCUUUCUUUUCGGAGAAAGUGUUUAUAGCCUUUGGCUUCUGCAAUCGGAGAGAUUGAGGUCUGCAGCGUAGAUCCUUCGGGGUUAGAUACAUUUGUGCUAAGUUAUAGCCUUUCAUAGACAACUUGUUGACUAUGAUCAGUCAUGUAGCUUACUCGCUUAUGCUAUUUUACCUACGCUUAGGAUGUUGACGAUCAGCUGAGCGCG
rnacentral:rRNA from 1 species